UCCGGUGGUGAUGGCUAAGGGGAUCCACCUGUUCCCAUCCCGAACACAGUAGUUAAGCCCUUAUACGUCGAAAGUACUUGGCUGGAAGCGAUAGAUAGCUGCCGGUU
rnacentral:rRNA from 1 species